AUGGUAGGUCAUGGAUAAAUCGUCAAACCUCAUCAUCAGUCAUAUGAUAGAUCCGAUCAGUCCAAGUCUAAUAGUGAUUUUAAAUAAAAUUAUUUUUCAUCAUUCAUAUUGCUAUGGCCAUAGACUUGUGAACUCAGCUUCUCAAAUCUUAUAGAACUAUUCCUCUCUAUCAAGGUCAAUAGAUCCUAUCUAGAUGCAUACUUCACUCGUACAGCUCUACCAACUGAAGCCAACAUCUAAUACAAAAACUUAUAAUCAAGCUAAAUUUAUGUGUAGUCAAACUACAGU
rnacentral:lncRNA from 1 species